AAGUACAACGAGUUGCGAAGUCGCGAGGCUAAGCUAAUCUCUUAAAGCUUCUCUCAGUUCGGAUUGUAGGCUGCAACUCGCCUACAUGAAGCCGGAAUCGCUAGUAAUCGCGGAUCAGCACGCCGCGGUGAAUACGUUCCCGGGCCUUGUACACACCGCCCGUCACACCACGAGAGUUUGUAACACCCGAAGUCGGUGAGGUAACCUUUUUGGAGCCAGCCGCCUAAGGUGGGAUAGAUGAUUGGGGUGAAGUCGUAACAAGGUACC
rnacentral:rRNA from 1 species